AUGGCAGCAGCCCUACCAUGCCUAAUCUUUGCAGCCAGCCUGAUGCUAGCAAGCAUCAAGAGCAGCACAGCAUCCAGGAUGGCAAAGCCUGGGUGCCAAGAAACAUGUGGCAACCUCACCAUCCCAUACCCCUUCGGCAUCGGUGAAGGUUGCUUCCGCGAAGGGUUCGAUGUUUCAUGCGAGAACAACAGUGUUUACAGGCAUAACUCAAGCAGCAGAAUAAAGAUCUACAACAUCAGUCUGCUAGGAGGGCAGGCCCGAGUCACCACCUUGAUUGCAUCCAAGUGCUUCAACGAGACAGGGGGAUGGGCCUGGUUAAAUACGGGUAAGUUUUUUACAAUAUCAACCAAGGCAAACAAAUUAACAGCGGUUGGAUGCAACACCCUUGCAUUCCUGGGAGGCUUUAACGAGCACAGAGUGGGAGCUGGGUGUUUCUCGAUGUGCGCAGACAGGCGAAGUGUGGAUGAAAGUGGUCAGUGCUCUGGAAUGGGCUGUUGCCAGACAUCUAUUGCGCCAAACCUCAAUUUCUCCAAUGUAACAUUCGAUGACAGAUUCGACAAUUCUGAGGUGAGUGGCUUCAACCCAUGCAGCUAUGCUUUUGUCGCCGAGCAGGAUUGGUUCAGGUUUGAGGCUUCUUAUCUAGAGGAUAAUAAACUCAAAGAGAAGUUCAAGGAUGGAGUACCCACUCUGCUUGACUGGGUUGCUGGAAAUGAAUAAUAUAAACGAGUGCAAUUUCCCAGAUCAGUAUCCUUGCCAUGGAAUUUGCAGUAAUAUAAUUGGGGACUACGAUUGUUCAUGCAAAUCUGCGACUCAGAGUGCAGAUCCAAAGAGAAAAACCUGUGACCCAAUUGCAGUUUCAGAAAGAGCUAGAUUAACAAAAAUGUUUGCAGCUGCGUGUUCAAGAACCAAAACUGAAAGAAUAUUAUUCUUGGCAGGUAUUUCGGCAUGUGCAGUACUUCUCCUUAUCUGCAUUUCUGCACUCCUGAUUGAAUGUCAGAAGAGAAAGCUGGUGAAAGAAAAGCAGAUAUUCUUCCAACAAAAUGGUGGCCUGCUAUUAUAUGACCAAAUCAGGUCAAAGCAAGUUGAUACAGUGAGAAUAUUCACAAGGGAAGAACUAGAGAACGCAACGAACAAUUUCGACUCAAGCAGAGAAUUAGGAAGAGGUGGCCAUGAACUGUUUACAAGGGUAUUCUCAAAGACGGCAGAGUGGUAGCCAUAAAGCGCUCAAAGGUUAUGAACAUGGACCAGAAAGAUGAAUUUGCGCAGGAGAUGGUUAUACUUUCACAGAUAAACCACAGGAAUGUGGUAAAGCUUCUAGGAUGUUGCUUAGAAGUGGAAGUCCCAAUGUUGGUCUAUGAAUGCAUCCCAAACGGCACCCUAUUCGAGCUGAUGCAUGGUAAAAACAGAAGAUUUCCCGUUUCACUGGAUACUCGUCUCAGGAUAGCUCAGGAAUCUGCAGAAGCAUUGGCAUAUCUGCACUCAUCAGCAUCCCCUCCCAUAGUUCAUGGAGAUGUAAAAUCUCCAAACAUUCUCCUAGGUGACAACUACACAGCAAAAGUGACUGAUUUUGGAGCAUCAAGAAUGCUUCCUACGGAUGAAAUACAGUUUAUGACAAUGGUACAGGGAACUAUAGGUUAUCUUGACCCUGAAUACUUGCAAGAGCGUCAACUAACAGAGAAGAGUGAUGUUUAUAGUUUUGGAGUUGUGCUCCUAGAGCUGAUUACAAUAAAGUUCGCAAUUUAUUCCGACAGUGCUGGAGAAAAGAAAAAACUUGCAUCAUCGUUCCUUCUGGCAAUGAAAGAAAAUGGACUUCAAUUCAUCUUGGACAAGAAUAUAUUAGACUUCGAAGCGAAGCUGCUCCAAGAAAUUGCUCAACUGGCAAAGUGUUGCUUGAGUAUGAGGGGGGAAGAACGGCCAUUAAUGAGAGAGGUCGCUGAGAGGUUGAGAUCAAUACGAAGCACCUGGAGAGAACAAUUGAUUCAGAAUCCUAGCAGGGAAACUGAAUGUUUGAUUGAGAACUCGUCACACUAUGACCCUUCUAGCACUGGACAGCACGGAAGUCUGAUGGCGCUAGAUUUAGAAAGUGGUAGAUGA
rnacentral:rRNA from 1 species